rnacentral:rRNA from 2 species
ACUGAUUUCAACAAUCAAGCGAGUGGCGAACUGGUGAGUAACACGUGGGAAAUCUGCCCAGAAGCAGGGGAUAACACUUGGAAACAGGUGCUAAUACCGUAUAACAACAAAAUCCGCAUGGAUUUUGUUUGAAAGGUGGCUUCGGCUAUCACUUCUGGAUGAUCCCGCGGCGUAUUAGUUAGUUGGUGAGGUAAAGGCCCACCAAGACGAUGAUACGUAGCCGACCUGAGAGGGUAAUCGGCCACAUUGGGACUGAGACACGGCCCAAACUCCUACGGGAGGCAGCAGUAGGGAAUCUUCCACAAUGGACGAAAGUCUGAUGGAGCAAUGCCGCGUGAGUGAAGAAGGGUUUCGGCUCGUAAAACUCUGUUGUUAAAGAAGAACACCUUUGAGAGUAACUGUUCAAGGGUUGACGGUAUUUAACCAGAAAGCCACGGCUAACUACGUGCCAGCAGCCGCGGUAAUACGUAGGUGGCAAGCGUUGUCCGGAUUUAUUGGGCGUAAAGCGAGCGCAGGCGGUUUUUUAAGUCUGAUGUGAAAGCCUUCGGCUUAACCGGAGAAGUGCAUCGGAAACUGGGAGACUUGAGUGCAGAAGAGGACAGUGGAACUCCAUGUGUAGCGGUGGAAUGCGUAGAUAUAUGGAAGAACACCAGUGGCGAAGGCGGCUGUCUAGUCUGUAACUGACGCUGAGGCUCGAAAGCAUGGGUAGCGAACAGGAUUAGAUACCCUGGUAGUCCAUGCCGUAAACGAUGAGUGCUAAGUGUUGGAGGGUUUCCGCCCUUCAGUGCUGCAGCUAACGCAUUAAGCACUCCGCCU